rnacentral:lncRNA from 1 species
CCCCUGAUUGUUUUUGACAAACACCCUGAGAACAGACUGUUCACACAGAACAGGUUCUGAGAGAUCAAAUAGAGAUAAACCCUGAGAACCGAGCUUUUCCAGGAGCAGCCAGACAGGUCAAAGAGUCUUAGUUCUCUGGGGAAGGAGCUUUUGGAGCAGCUCCAAACUUGCUCUGCGCCCUCCAGUAGCUGCUAAACUGCCUGUUCUCACAGUUGCCAUGGUUACAAGAUUAUUAGUUUUCAUGGCUACUGUAGGGCUGGGGAGAAGGAAAUGGGGCAAGUUAAAAUGUCACAGAGCUCCCUGUUCUCUGCAUGAUGCAGCUGUUUUUCAGAUGACCCUUGGAUUGUUACAAAGCUUUGGUUAAUUUCCAGAAUUCUGAAAAAGUUUAUUUUUGACGACUUUUGUCAGUGUUCUUAACUGCUUUUAUAGGAGUGGAUUUUUAAAGGCGCUUACUCUCAUUUCUGAUGUGUUUCCAUUCUGUAUGUUUAAUCUGACUUUCUGCCUUGUUGAUUUUUAAGAGUUUUCUAUGUACCUUUUUGAUAGAUUCUGUAUGUAUGUCUUUAGAAAAAUAUGUGCUUUGUGACGUUCUUCUCCUAGGUUGUAACCCACCGUCUCACUCCAGGGAUCUAAUCUUGUUCUUCAGUGCUCAGGUGAAUGUUGUGUCACGUGAGGAAGAAACACAGCUUCACCCGCCAGGAUCUGUGUGUAGGCUAAGCAGAGAGAGUCGGAAGGUGGGAAUUCGUAGUCAUUUUGUGCUACGCGGUAUCACUAAGACUUCAUAUCAUGUGGUUUUUAUUCAUAUUACUGAAGGAAUAGGUGGAGACUUCAUCCAUAAACCUACCACUGACUGCUCUGUGAUCCUUUUACUGUCUGAAAAUGUCAUCAGCCCCAGCAGCGAGAAGAUACAACCAUGGAAGGAGAUCGCUUGCCUUGUGCAAUUUUCAAGUAGGGAAAGAUCAAUGCAAGAUCAAAGUAUGCAUCGGAAACAUGAUACCAGCCGCCCUGACAGAUUCUUACGCAGUGCCUAUUGUCUUCCUAGGCUGCAGCACACCAAGCUAUGCACAAACGGCAACAGUGUCCUCAAACGCUCCAGGACAAACUCACCCUCCCAGGUGACACUCCGUUCACUUGCAACAUUUAUUUCAAAAUAACUGCCGCACUAUUCUGAAAAAUCAUACUUGUCACUGAUUCCCUUUUUAGAUAUGCAAGACCUACCUCCUUACAGUCCUAGAGGAUCAGAAACAAGAAGGAAGAAUUGUGGGCUGCCACACAAUGCCACCAAGGACAACAUGAAGUAGGUACAAAGGUUCACCUUCUCAGACGUCACCAGAAAGGGUUUGGAACAUCCAUUCUUUGACAAGAGCUCUCGGGAGUCUUCACGUUGUAGAACACGAAGAGGCCAUCAGGAAGACUGGAAGUGGCUUCUCUUUUUGCAUAAACAUAAUCCCUGGGUUACCUAACAUGGGGAAGGGCAAGGGAAAGUGCUUUAUCUGCUCUUUGGCACCAGUUUUAGGAGGUGAUUAUGUCUUCAGUGAUAGGGUGGAUGGAGGCUUUGCUCCCAAGACUCACCUCUAAGUUCCUGUUGUGAGGGUAAUUAAUGGCUGUAACCCUGCACCUCCACUACCAUGCUCUCUUGCUUUUGAUUCCUGG